UAUAAAUAGCCCGUGGACAGGAUUUUCCCAUUCCAAUCACCCCAAAUAGGUAGGGUUUAUUCUACUCAAGAAGAUGUUGACCCAAAAUCAUUUUUCAACGCCCAAGAUCAUCUACAAGAACCCAAGAAUAAGAUUUCUUCUUUAACCUAGUGCACCUAGUACUUGUGAGAAAUGCUCAAGAUUGUGGUGAUUAAUUGUGGUAAAUGCAUGGGGAGACUAACCCUGCCAGAAAAGAAGAAUAUUUAAGACGUUGAGUUUGUAGGUGACGAGGUACAUGGCUUGAGACGUGGUAGACGUUGAGUUUGUAGGUGACGAGGCACAUGGCUUGAAGCAGCCGUUGACUCUUUCUAGUGAUGUUGGUUCCCUUUUUUGAUCUUUAGUUGUCAUUUGACUUUUAUAUCAUUCUAGAGAACGUCCCGAAGAUUUAUGUACUCAAACUUUCACUAGAGGCUCAUGACUUGUUGGCCGAUUUAGUUGUCAAACAUGUUAAUGUUUAUUUUUAGUAUUUAAGUUUUCAAGCGAUAUUUACCUUGAGACUCUUUUGUAAUGAAUUUCUUGGGUA